AACGGCCGCAAAAUUAACCGCGCAAAGGUAGCGCAAUAAAUUGUCUUUUAAAUGAAGACCGUACGAAUGGCAAAACGAGGGCUUAGCUGUCUCACUCUCUCCGUUAAUAAAAUUGAUCUCCUUGUACAAAAGCAAGAAUAGUUUUAUAAGACAAAAAGACCCUAUGGAGCUUUAGAAUCUGAAAUAGAGCCAUUAAACUUAACAAAUAAAUUAUAAUCCCUAUUUCUUUUAUUUCUUUGGUUGGGGCGACCAUGGAGAAAAAUAUAUCCUCCUCAAAAAUCAAUAAAAUUUAUAAAACAAGAAUAACAUUUCUCAUUCAUAAAACAUAUGCUUAAAGAUGAUCCGAAAACAUGUUCGAUCAACGAAAACAAGCUACCCUAGGGGUAACAGCGCAAUCCCCUUUUAGAGCCCUUAUCAACAGGGGGGUUUACGACCUCCAUGUUGGAUCAGGACAUCCCAAU
rnacentral:rRNA from 1 species